rnacentral:rRNA from 1 species
AUUAUUUUUUUUUAGCGCAGUGUAAAAGCUGGCUAUAUGAAAACUUAGCAUUAAGUAUAAUAAUUUAUAUUUACUAUUAUGACAAUAAAAUUCUGUUGUUAUUUGAUAAUGUUAUUAUAAGUAGUAUUAAUAUAUGUGUUAAAGGAACUCGGCAAAGAACCACUCAACUGUUUAUCAAAAACAUAGCUGUGUGUAUUAAUACAUAGUAAUUUCUGCUCCAUGCUUAGUAAAUAGCCGCAGUACUCUGACUGUGCAAAGGUAGCAUAAUCAGUUGGCUUUUAAUUAAAGUCUGGUAUGAAUGAAAAUAUGGGUAGUAACUGUCUUAGCAUACUUAUUUGAAAUUACUGAGCAAGUGCAAAUACUUGUAAAUAAAAUAAUAGACGAGAAGACCCUAGAAACUUGAACUAGUUUUUGUUGGGGCGACAAAAUUACAGUUAACUAAUUUUAUAAUACAUGACGCAAAGUAGAGAGAAUAAGUUACUCUAGGGAUAACAGCAUAAUUUUUAAGUUUGUGACCUCGAUGUUGGACUAGGUACUGCACCCUUAAGACAGGGGUGUAUUAUGCUCUGUUCGAGCAGAUUUACCUACAUGAUCUGAGUUCAGACCGG